UCCUACGGGGGGCAGCAGUGAGGGAUAUUGGUCAAUGGUCGGGAGACUGAACCAGCCAAGCCGCGUGAGGGAGGAAGGUACAGAGUAUCGUAAACCUCUUUUGUCAGGGAACAAAGGCGGGGACGUGUCCCCGGAUGAGUGUAUCUGAAGAAAAAGCAUCGGCUAACUCCGUGCCAGCAGCCGCGGUAAUACGGAGGAUGCGAGCGUUAUCCGGAUUUAUUGGGUUUAAAGGGUGCGCAGGCGGUCUGUUAAGUCAGCGGUCAAAGCCCGGGGCUCAACCCCGGCCCGCCGUUGAAACUGGCAGG
rnacentral:rRNA from 1 species